ACGUAGGGUGCAAGCGUUGUCCGGAUUUACUGGGUGUAAAGGGUGCUCAGGCGGAUUUGUAAGUCAGAGGUGAAACUCCGGAGCUUAACUCCGGACCUGCCUUUGAUACUGCAAUUCUCGAGUUUGAGAGAGGCGAGUGGAAUAUCUGGUGUAGCAGUGAAAUGCGUAGAUAUCAGAUAGAACACCAAUGGCGAAGGCAGCUCGCUGGACCAAUACUGACGCUGAAGCACGAAAGUGUGGGUAGCAAACAG
rnacentral:rRNA from 1 species